CUUCCCAUUUAUUUGCUGCUAUAGUCUCAUAAUGAUACAAGCAGUUGUAUGCAUGGGAUAAAAUAAUAUUGGGACAUAUAAAUUGAAAUGAAGUAACCAUUUUCAUCUUUUCUGCAUGGACAAGACAUUA
ensembl:snoRNA